UAUAUUAAGGUGUAUUUUAUAGCACAGUAAGUUUUGAUCUUUCAGGGAGUAGUUAAAUUCUAUUUAAUAUAA
rnacentral:tRNA from 1 species